rnacentral:lncRNA from 1 species
UGUCACGGACAAACUUCUAAACAAGGUGUUUGAUGUAAUGCUUAUGUAUGUCCGUGUCUUUUGGCAUGUUCAUGCCUUGUACAGAAUGUAAAGGGGCGGCCGAAGGCUUAAUAGCCCCAUUUUAGUUGGGUUGGUGGCCUCUUUAGGCUUGUAAAUAAAGGUUGUGUCAUGUGGACACGCUCGAGAGCUUUUCGGUCUGUAAUGGACCAUUUUACCCUUUGUUGUGCCACUGUUCAGAGCUUGUAAUAGUCUGUUUGUAAUUUGCUUUGUCUAUGAAGUGUUUUUCGGACAUGUUUGCUUGUGGAUCCCGUUUGUGGCGUUCUCUUUAACCCGUUCUCUCUUUUGUUGG